GACAUUUUAACUAUCAUAAGUAUAUAUUUUGAAAAUAUAAAAAAGAAUUUUUUCUAAAUGUCU
rnacentral:tRNA from 1 species